GCCUUUGUAGUGUAGUGGUAAGCAUGCUCGACUCGCAUUCGAGAGGCCCGAUUUUCGAGUCCCGGCGAAGGCA